CUCCCCGGGGCGCCCGCGUGUGUCUGAGCCGCGGCGGCCGGGUCUUCUGUGUCGGCGAGAGCCAGUCCAUUGAUGACUUAAACAAAUGGGCCCUGUUCCUGGUUUCUCCUUUUAUACUUGAAGCAGAGCACAUCGCAUUUGUGACAGAGAGCAUUUGGGUGCAAGGUGAGAAUUUACAGAGACCGGCAUCCUCUUCGGAAACUCUCAAAGUGCAAAAGGAAAGCGGACUGUUUGC